AUUGAACGCUGGCGGCAUGCCUUACACAUGCAAGUCGAACGGCAGCAUGAUCUAGCUUGCUAGAUUGAUGGCGAGUGGCGCACGGGUGAGUAAUACAUCGGAACGUGCCCUGUAGUGGGGGAUAACUAGUCGAAAGAUUAGCUAAUACCGCAUACGACCUGAGGGUGAAAGUGGGGGACCGCAAGGCCUCAUGCUAUAGGAGCGGCCGAUGUCUGAUUAGCUAGUUGGUGAGGUAAAGGCUCACCAAGGCGACGAUCAGUAGCUGGUCUGAGAGGACGAUCAGCCACACUGGGACUGAGACACGGCCCAGACUCCUACGGGAGGCAGCAGUGGGGAAUUUUGGACAAUGGGCGAAAGCCUGAUCCAGCAAUGCCGCGUGUGUGAAGAAGGCCUUCGGGUUGUAAAGCACUUUUGUCCGGAAAGAAAUGGCUCUGGUUAAUACCUGGGGUCGAUGACGGUACCGGAAGGAUAAGGACCGGCUAACUACGUG
rnacentral:rRNA from 1 species